GGCGUGCUUACACAUGCAGUCGAACGGAAAGGCCCUGCUUGCAGGGUACUCGAGUGGCGAACGGGUGAGUAACACGUGGGUGAUCUGCCCUGCACUUCGGGAUAAGCCUGGGAAACUGGGUCUAAUACCGGAUAGGAGCCAUUUUUAGUGUGAUGGUUGGAAAGUUUUUUCGGUGUAGGAUGAGCUCGCGGCCUAUCAGCUUGUUGGUGGGGUAAUGGCCUACCAAGGCGGCGACGGGUAGCCGGCCUGAGAGGGUGGACGGCCACAUUGGGACUGAGAUACGGCCCAGACUCCUACGGGAGGCAGCAGUGGGGAAUAUUGCACAAUGGGCGCAAGCCUGAUGCAGCGACGCCGCGUGGGGGAUGACGGCCUUCGGGUUGUAAACUCCUUUCGCUAGGGACGAAGCUUUUUGUGACGGUACCUAGAUAAGAAGCACCGGCUAACUACGUGCCAGCAGCCGCGGUAAU
rnacentral:rRNA from 1 species